GCUAACGCGUUAAGUAGACCGCCUGGGGAGUACGGUCGCAAGAUUAAAACUCAAAUGAAUUGACGGGGGCCCGCACAAGCGGUGGAGCAUGUGGUUUAAUUCGAUGCAACGCGAAGAACCUUACCUACUCUUGACAUCCAGAGAACUUUCCAGAGAUGGAUUGGUGCCUUCGGGAACUCUGAGACAGGUGCUGCAUGGCUGUCGUCAGCUCGUGUUGUGAAAUGUUGGGUUAAGUCCCGCAACGAGCGCAACCCUUAUCCUUGUUUGCCAGCGAGUAAUGUCGGGAACUCCAGGGAGACUGCCGGUGAUAAACCGGAGGAAGGUGGGGACGACGUCAAGUCAUCAUGGCCCUUACGAGUAGGGCUACACACGUGCUACAAUGGCGCAUACAGAGGGCAGCCAACUUGCGAAAGUGAGCGAAUCCCAAAAAGUGCGUCGUAGUCCGGAUUGGAGUCUGCAACUCGACUCCAUGAAGUCGGAAUCGCUAGUAAUCGUGGAUCAGAAUGCCACGGUGAAUACGUUCCCGGGCCUUGUACACACCGCCCGUCACACCAUGGGAGUGGGCUGCAAAAGAAGUAGGUAGUUUAACCUUCGGGGGGACGCUUACCACUUUGUGGUUCAUGACUGGGGUGAAGUCGUAACAAGGUAGCGCUAGGGGAACCUGGCGCUGGAUCACCUCCUUAAACGAUGAU
rnacentral:rRNA from 1 species